rnacentral:miRNA from 1 species
AAAAAACAAGGAUCCACGGAU